rnacentral:rRNA from 1 species
GACGAACGCUGGCGGCGUGCUUAACACAUGGAAGUCGAACGGAAAGGCCCUGCUUUUGUGGGGUGCUCGAGUGGCGAACGGGUGAGUAACACGUGAGUAACCUGCCCUUGACUUUGGGAUAACUUCAGGAAACUGGGGCUAAUACCGGAUAGGAGCUCCUGCUGCAUGGUGGGGGUUGGAAAGUUUCGGCGGUUGGGGAUGGACUCGCGGCUUAUCAGCUUGUUGGUGGGGUAGUGGCUUACCAAGGCUUUGACGGGUAGCCGGCCUGAGAGGGUGACCGGCCACAGUGGGACUGAGAUACGGCCCAGACUCCUACGGGAGGCAGCAGUGGGGAAUAUUGCACAAUGGGCGGAAGCCUGAUGCAGCAACGCCGCGUGCGGGAUGACGGCCUUCGGGUUGUAGACCGCUUUCGCCUGUGACGAAGCGUGAGUGACGGUAAUGGGUAAAGAAGCACCGGCUAACUACGUG